rnacentral:rRNA from 1 species
CUACCCGAUCGCAGAAGUGUGCGCAUCCAUCCCUCAAUUGUGUUAAUUAGGCACUCAGAGGCCGGCGAGGCGAUGGAUCCAGGCUUUCGGGUCGACACUUCUCGGUCGAAUGCCCUGGGGGCAACAGCCUUUGGGGUGUCAACCCUGGCGUGUCAGUGAGCGCACUCAUCCCUCAUAUGUGUUAAUUAGGCACUCGGAGGCCGGCGAGGCGAUGAGUCCAGGCAACCCGUCCCGGCGGGAAGCUGCACUGUUCAUGCUGGGCGAGACACGUCCCCAGGGCAGCCAAACGGCUGCCGCUGGCGUCUGUGCGUCGUUGAGCAGUUGUUGCGCUCGUUGUGUGUUUGGAGGUGCAGCCUGUUGCUCUCCGGGCCCUUCGAGUGGCUACGUCCGUGGCUGUGAUGAGACGACGUGGUAGGGCCCGUUAGCAGAGAAACGUGGCUUAAGACUUAAUGAGCUCACAGGACCAAGAGCCGCCAGCACUUUUUUUCACUUAUCAAUUUUUUACAAUGUUCACUCGUGAACAGCGAACAAAUUCUAGUCUUAUCGGUGGAUCACUCGGCUCGUAGGUCGAUGAAGAACGCAGCCAACUGCGAUAAGUAGUGUGAACUGCAGAAACCUUGAACACAGAACAUUCGAAUGCACAUUGCGCCAUUGGAGUAACAUCCUCUGGCACGCCUGGUUCAGGGUCGUUUCCGAAAAACGCACAGCAAACGCGUUGUACAAGCUGUGGGAUCAGUGGCCUCGUGUCGCUGUUCCUGCAUUUUGGCAAAGGCACCACAGAGCAAGUGUGGUUGGUUUGUGCGGCAUGGAAACUGUGUUUAAUUUUUCCAUGUUCACGACAGAGUCGCUGACUUCUGGUCUAGCACGAGCCUCUCACUCUCUUACGGUCGCCCAAUCAUUACAAUUACACAUUUCGACCUGAANCUCAGACGUGAGUACCCGCUGA